GUCCGGCCUGCUGCAAGUGAGAUAAUCAGAGUUAUGAUGCUACUUUAUGAGGAUGAAAAUAAACAUUAAAAGCAACAUAAUUCAAACAUGAUAACAGUGUGUGGAAUGAUGCAAAAGGUGUUAUGCAUGACUUCAUUAUUAUUAGAUCAUUACCAGACACAAAGAUUAUUAUGAAGGUGCAAAGGCCCAAAUAUUUGCAGUCAGUUUGAUCUUCCAGAACAGGAAGUUGAUUUUACUGACUUUAACGUCUGGAGUGUGGAUACACAUGAAAUGAAAUUCAUGUGAAUAUAUACCCAGAGGAAGGGAAAACUCCAAAUCAGA